AUACGGAGGGUGCAAGCGUUAUUCGGAAUCACUGGGCGUAAAGGACGCGUAGGCGGGUUGGCAAGUCAGAUGUGAAAUCCUACAGCUUAACUGUAGAACUGCAUUUGAAACUGCUAACCUAGAGUAUGGGAGGGGGAGAUGGAAUUAGUGGUGUAGGGGUAAAAUCCGUAGAUAUCACUAGGAAUACCGAAAGCGAAGGCGAUCUCCUGGAACAUAACUGACACUAAGGCGUGAAAGCGUGGGGAGCAAACAGGAUUAGAUACCCUAGUAGUCC
rnacentral:rRNA from 1 species